GCCUGUUUUGGUCUGGCUUCAGUCCUAUCAGUUAUUCUGUUAGGUGAUGAGUCUGGUCAUGAAUUAGGUGACGUGCAGCGCGUGAAGCUGGCU
rnacentral:tRNA from 1 species